rnacentral:sRNA from 1 species
CUGAUCGUGUGAUAUUGUACUCUUUAUAAUUGUUGGGUUAUUGACAAUCAUGACCGGUGGCGUCUACUAUUAGUUCUAAAUAUCAAUAUAGAGAUGCAAAUAUUGUCUAGAUAUAUAGAAAGCAGCUCAGCUCUUCUCUAACUUAAUCCUUGACCCUUGACUGCUAAAGCAGUUAAAAUAAGUCUAUUUUCACUCAUUUCUUUCUUCCUCUGUUAUGAAUGUAUGAUAAUUUAAUUGGUAGCUUUGGAAGCGAGCAGGAUAACGAGGAUGUGGUGUGAACGAGAAAGUGGUGAACUAUCUAUGUUAUGAGUUAGUUACGAAGGGUCGGGCAUACACCAUUAAUAAUUCAAGAUAUAGUGACACCAUUGAAGGUAAGAUCAAAUUCGCUUCUUGUUUACGCACAAUUCCUUGGUUGAAGUGCAGCUCUCAUGGCAGGAUUCGCUUCAGUGAAGCCGAAUUGGAAAGACGACGUAUCGUUUCCCAGAGCCUUAUGCAAAAUACCAGUAGAAAAUGGCUGUCCUGGUUGAGAAGUUGCCAGAAAGUCCACAGCUUGUUAUUGUUCCGCCGUGAGGAGGAGGGGAAUUUAAGUUCGGAAUGAGCUUAGUCCGCAUCUUCUAAAAAAAAAAGAAGGGGG